CGACAACAUUUUGAGCAUUUUCUACAGUUUGUGAAAUGGUCGCCAUUGGCAUUACGUGCCAGUAGUGUUCGCUAAUUGACUUUACCGGGGAUUAUAUUUAUUACAACGUUACUGCGCGGAAGUGAUCAUAGUGUAUGCUUAUGAACGUGAGUGGUAGGUGUUAUUAGUGCGACUUUACCCUUAAUUAGUUUUCCCACCGGAAGUAGAGUUGUUUAUGCGACGUGAUGGCUAGAGCAGUCCCAAACAAUCGAUCGCGUUUAUUAACAGACCAAUUCUCUCCAAACUUUAGGGUAAGCUAGACUAGAGAUAUGGUUGCAAUAAUACGAACAAGGGCGCAACAGCAUAUUGACAAUGGCGAGAACUUUAAUAUUUACAUUGUGUUAGUGCACCCAUCGCUCCGCAUCCUUAACGCUACAUUGAUGUCGAGAGUCUCUGACACAGCUGUGCUCUGCAGCACAGACACCCUGCUUAUCUGUGAUUCGGCCAGACUGGUGUUGAACUCCAAAGACAUGCGCGGGGUUAGGUUAGUUGCUGUUGGUGUGAGUGGUUGUCUGAGUCUCUCUAAUAACCCUCCAACAGACUGGCGACCUGUCCAGGGUGUACUUUUGCCCUAUGACAGCUGGAAUACAACCUGAAUAAAAUAAGUAGGAGAAAAUGAAUGAUGUUUAUGAACUGUAGUUAAUGUAGUCAGACAAUAAGUUACCGAGCAACAGGCCACAAGUCUUGGUGCAGAAUCAUACUAAGAUUUAAAAAAUAAAAUGUUGGCACUGGUGUUUGAAACAGUAUACUGUCAGUAAGACUGGAGCAACUGCACACAUCUGGAAACAAAUAACUAGAGUAGUUAAGUAACAUUUUGUUACUGCAUCCAUUUAGCCAGGUAUAAUUAGCAUGUCUACAUACAUGUCAUUUCUAAUGUGGUCCUAUGUGGUAUGUUGUAGGACAGUGAAGUGUCUGACACUGACCAUGUACCAGUGCCUGAGAACACUGGUAUGGAGGGGGAGAACGCACCUCUUUACUGUAUUUGUCGGAAACCAGACAUCAACUGCUUCAUGAUGCUUUGCCAUGAUAAAUUGGUCAGUUGACAACCAGGAGCCGUACACCUUAACCUCAGAGGCCAGGACAUCCAGGGGCAGUGUGAACACGCACUUGCUUAAAUGGGACGCAAGACGGACUAUAGAGGGCCACCCCCUUGCCAGACAACCAAGUGCUGUCCCUGUCCACGGCCAGUGUGAGAAGGACUCUCACUAAAGUCAACCCACACAAAGCUGCUGGACCAGACAAUAUACCUGGACGCGUGCUCGGAGCCCGUGCUGACCAGCUGACUGAUGUCCUAGCGGGCAUCUUUAACAUCUCCCUGAGUCAAGCUGUUGUGCCACAGUGCUUUAAAACCACCACCAUCAUACCUGUCCCCAGACCUUCCCAAAGCCUAAUUACACAAUGAUUGCCUGAGCCUAUUCUUGUUAAAUGAUGAAAAACUCAAAGGCACGUUUGGGCAGUGGAUCUGUGUGAAAUCAGCAGCUUGCAAAACUAAAUCAAAAUGUGUGCUAUUGAUUCUAAAAAUAGAAAUCACAAUAAAGUUCAACAUUUACUAAAACUGCCAUUCAGUCAUCUGAGAGUCUUUACUCAUGAAAUUAUAACGGUUAGAUGAAUGUAUAUGCAGUGAUUUACUGAUCAAUGAUAAAAGGGGAGAUUUAUGCAAUAACGAAGACUGUCAUGAAAAGUAUUUGGCAUCUGAUCUCCUGUAACCUGCGGAGCUAAGCUGUUUUACCAGCUCUGCUCUCUGAUUUUUCUUUUUUCUUUUAUGAAAAAACACAAGUUGUCAAAGUUAUUUGUUUGCAAAUGUAUUUCAGAAAUAUCGACAUACUUUUUUUAAUCAGCAGAAACUUUAUGUCAGUAGUGCAAAAACCUGCACUGAUCUGACCUCAUUUCUUCCUCAUCCUGAUUCCUGACCUGGGAAGGGAGAGAAAUAUUUGUUUUUGUUUGUCUUCUUGUUUUAUUUAAUUCCUUGUGGGAUUUGGAUCCAACACGUAAAGUAUGCAUAUUAUGCACACACACAAACACACAUGCAGCUAUUACCCAUUUCUUGUAUUCUUGAAUAAAGACAUUGAUUUGACACA
ensembl:lncRNA